GCUGAGCACCAUCCAGCCCUGCCGGCAGCACCAGCACCAGCUCCUGUGUCUCCUUCCCAGGGGGAUCCCGGCAUCCAAGGGAUGAAAGGGGACAAGGUCAGUGUCCAUCCCUGCAUCCCACCUGCCCACCCGGACACAGCCUGAGCUCUGUGCACUCCCUGCCCUCCAGGGGGACUCCUGCCUGGCCUGCGAUGAACGUGUCCUUGCCGCACUGCUGCGGGCACCCAGUGAGGGGCUGUGGGGUGACCCAGUGGGUGAAGAGGGGCUCCCCAGGCUGGCUGGCAUCAAGGGUGAGAAGGGGGACGGCGGCCAGCAGGGACCCACAGGCACACCGGGUCUCCCAGGAGACAAGGGUGAUCCGGGUGUGCGGGGGCUCAAAGGAGAGAAGGGGGAGCCGUGCGGGCAGUGCCCUCCUGUGCCACAGGCCCUCGAAGGGGCGGCCACGGUGCUGGCAGUGCCAGGACCACCAGGGGAGAGGGGCCAGGGUGGCCCCCCCGGCAGAGCGGUGAGUGCCCCC
rnacentral:lncRNA from 14 species